GACGAACGCUGGCGGCGUGCUUAACACAUGCAAGUCGAACGGAGUGGCCAACGGGUGAGUAACACGUGGGUGACCUUCCCUGCACUUCGGGGUAAUCCCGGGUAAAUGGGGUUAAUACUGGCUAGUGUGGGAUGGGCUGGGGGCUUAUCAGCUUGUUGGGGGGGUAAUGGCCUACCAAGGCGGCGCCGGGUAGCCGGCCUGAGCGGGUGGACGGCCACAUGGGGACUGAGACACGGACCAGAGUCGUACGGGGGGCAGCAGUGGGGAAUAUUGCACAAUCGGCGGGAGCCUGAUGCAGAGACGCCGCGUGGGUGAUGACGGCCUUCGGGUUGUAAACUCCUUUCACCAUCGACGCGGUAGAUGGAGAAGAAGCACCGGCUAACUCCGUGCCAGCAGCCGCGGUAAUAC
rnacentral:rRNA from 1 species